rnacentral:lncRNA from 1 species
CACCGUCUUGCUUUGAACAUUACUGCUUUCCUUUUGUUCUCCAGGUGGGCUCCUGAUCACCAACAUUUACACGGGGUUUCCUCGAAACUUGAACUGUUUUUCCCUUUGUUCUCUAGGUGGGCUCCUGAUUACCGACACUUGAAUUGUUUCUCCCUUUAUUCUCCAGGUGGGCUCCUGAUUACCGACACUUGAAUUGCUUCUCCUUUUGUUCUCUAAGUGGGCUCCUGAUUACCGACACUUGAAUUGCUUCUCCCUUUGUUCUUUAGGUGGGCUCCUGAUUUCCGACACUUGAAUUGCUUCUCCCUUUGUUCUUCAGGUGGUCUCCUGAUUACCGACAAUUGAAUUGCUUCUCCCUUUGUUCUCCAGGUGGGCUCCUGAUUACCAACACUUGAACUUGUUUUCCCUUUGUUCUCCAGGUGGACUCCUGAUUACCGACACUUUAACUGUUUUUCCUCGGAACUUGAUUUGUUUUCCAUUUGUUCUCCAGGUGGGCUCCUGAUUGUUGAGCUUGAACUACUUCCUCUUGCGACUGCUUUUCCUUUGAGCUGGCUUCCCUUGUUUCUCUAGGUGGGUGCCUGAUUGCUUGAACCUGAACUGCUUUCUAUCUUUGAAACUCGUGUUGUUCUCUCUUGCUCUCUAGGUGGGCGCCUGAUUGCAACAGAAUAAACAAAACAAAGAAAAUUUUUUGCCCCAGUUUGGUAGCUGGGCACAUCGGUGAGUGUUAAUUGAAUCAUGCUACCAAAUAUCUCUAAGAAUUUGAAAGCUAGAUCCCAUUAUCCUGGAGGGUCCUGAAAGCUCCUAGUAAAAUGACAGUUUUAAAGCUAAAUUAUAUUUUCUAAAGGUAUGACUUCCGCUAAAUCUUGUUAUCUAUGAAGGUCUUAAAACUACAUCCCAUUAUCUAGGAGGGUCCUGAAAAUCCAAAUCAAAUCUCAUCUUAAGAGUGACAACUUUAAGGCUAAAUUAUACUUCCCUACGACAGAACUUACGCUAAAUCUUAUUAUCUAAUGGAGGUCUUAAAGCUAAGUCCCAUUAUUCAGAUGGGUCUUGAAAAUUUCCAAUUGAGUCUCGUUCUAAGAAUGAAAACUUCAAAACAAACUUAUAUUUUCACAAAGUAGAGCUUAUGCUAGAUCUUGUUACUCAUGAAUAUUUUGAAUUUUAAAACUAGGUCCCAUAGUCCAAGAGGGACCUGAGAAUUUACGGUCGAACCUGUCUGGUACUUACUUUCCUUACAGAGAGUUUCUUCGAAACAAACAAAAUUUUCUUCCCCUAUUUCAAAUCAAAGAAAAAUUUUGUUAUUUUAAAAUGUGGUGGUUAGUUUAUGGCAUUCUUACUGAAGGUGGCCUCUCUGUUGUCGUGUUUUGCUUUGACUGGUUGCCUUGCAUAACCCGAGCGCUCUGCACCCAAACUGUUGUUUUACAUUUCUAACCCUUCUACCUAAACCUCUGUAUCUCCCACAAGAUUACUAAACCAUUCGACCAAUGGAACUUUCAUUGACACCUUAUUUCCCACUUUAUAUUAUGUUAUCUUUGGUAUGCUUUGGCCGCACUUUGCUUUGUGCAAUUUGGAGGUUUGGUAGUGAGCUUUGAAAUCCUUUCUUUCUUACUUAAACAAGGCUAAAAUUUGGAAAAACCUUAGAGAAAUAAUCCUAAAGAAGUAAAAUUCAAUGAAUUCGAGAGUUAGGAAUAAAGAGGAAAAUCCAAAACUGGAUGACAUGUUUGAAAGAGAAAAGGGAAAGAGACUUAUCUGAGUGGAGCGGCUGGUACCAAUUAUCAUGACAUGCAUUUCGGAUUAAUCAACCCAGCUUAUUCAACCAAUAUUCUUUCAAUCUUCACACUUUUAUGCCCGUGGUUCCCAUAAUCUAACUCCCUUGCCAAGUCAACGACCUUAUUCGGCUUGUAGUGCCCUGAAGGGUUUUCACCAACAAACCUCUCUCAUUUGUUUAUCUCUUAACUUACUGUCGUCUUACGGUGCCCGUGAGGGUUUUCACCAAUAAGACUCUCUCAUUUUUUAUUUCACUCAGCUUUCCAUCGUCUUACGGUGCCCGUGAAGGGUUUCACCAAUAAGACUCUCUCAUUUUUUACUUCCCUGCUCGGAAUGGAGUGUUUCCCCUGAUACGACUCGCCUCUACUUGCUCGACCUAGCAUCUCUCGAUGACUAAUCGAAAGGUCUUUCUUUGGACCGUAAUGUGCGCUUUGGAUAGGGUUAGAAAGAAAGGGUAUUGAAAGGCUCAAAACAAUUUGAAAUGGUUCAAAAUUAUAACUUUUGGAAUCAGAUUUCUUACAACAACCACAACUUUCUGCCCCAGUUUCUUUACUUGGGGACUUUUGAAUUUUAUUUUGACGGGACCGAACUGUGAGGCUGCCUACGUAUCCUUAAAAGGAAUCAGGUCAAACGUAGUUCAUGCAUAGAAAUUACUUUGUUGUUGUGAUUUUUCUCUUUUCUUUUUCUUUCUCUUCUCUUUUUUUUCCAUUUCCCUUUUUGUUGUUUUUUUUCUCUUCUUUUUUUCACUCUUUUUAUUCUUUUCUUUCUCUUUUUCUCUCUUUUCCUUUACAUAUCUUUUGUGUUCGCAUUUCUGAACUUUGCUACUGAUUCCAUAAGAGGGGAAUGAAAGGAAAUAAAUAAGGCUCAAAGGGGUAACAAAGGAUAAAGUGUUUAGAUAGCAGAACAAAAUGCCUUCGUCAUUCCAAUCUUCAAAACAUGCCAAGUACAAACAAACACAAUUUAAACCAAAGAAAUCAUACAUAAUAUCUUUUGACUACAUCAGAACUGAUAGCCAUAUCUACACAUUUGCCUUCUAUAUCUGUUAAAUACAAAGCACCAUAGGACAACACUCUCGUUACGAUGAACGGCCCCUGCCAAUUUGGGGCGAACUUGCCUUUUGCUUCAGCCUAAUGUGGAAGGAUGCGUUUCAAUACUUGCUGACCCACUUCAAAUUUUCGGGGACGCACUUUCUUGUUGUAUGCUCUUGCCAUUCUCUUUUGAUACAACUGGCCAUAGCAUACUGCUGCCAAUCUUUUCUCAUCAAUCAAACUCAAUUGCUCCAAACAGGUUUUGACCCACUCAUCAUCAUCAAUUUCGGCUUCAGCAAUGAUCUGAAGGGAUGUAAUUUCAACCUCCACGGGUAUUACUGCUUCUGGGCCAUAUACAAACAAAUAAGGAGUUGCCCCUACUGAAGUGCGAACAGUAGUGUGAUAACCCAACAGUGCAAAGGGCAACUUUUUAUGCCAUUGCCUGGAACCCUGCAUCAUUUUUCGAACUAUCUUCUUUAUGUUCUUGUUGGCUGGCUCAACUGCUCCAUUCGCCUUGGGGUGGUAUGGGGUGGAAUUGCAAUGCGUAAUCUUAGACUGUUGACACACUUCUUUCAUCAGAUGGUUGUUAAGAUUAGCACCAUUAUCUGUGAUGAUCACCUUGGGGAUUCCGAAUCGACAAAUAAUAUUUGAAUGAACAAAAUUGACCACUGCCUUCUUGGUUACAGACUUGAAAGUUUUAGCUUCAACCCACUUAGUGAAAUAGUCAAUGGCCACCAGAAUGAACCUGUGCCCAUUAGAUGUUGCUGGCUCAAUUGGUCCGAUGACAUCCAUACCCCAAGCAACAAAGGGCCAUGCUGCGGACAUUGUGUGUAAUUCAGAUGGCGGAGAAUGAAUCAAAUCUCCGUGUACUUGACAUUGAUGACAUUUGCGCACAAAACUGAUACAAUCUCGCUCCAUGGUGUGCCAAUAAUAACCUGCUCGGAGAAUCUUGUUUGCUAGAACAUACCCAUUCAUAUGCGGCCCGCAAACCCCGGAAUGUACUUCAGUCAUGAUUGUUGAUGCUUGUCUAGCAUCUAUGCAUCUUAACAAACCAAGAUCUGGAGUCCUUUUGUACAAAACUCCUCCACUGAAGAAAAACCCACUUGCCAAAUGUCGAAUUGUUCUCUUUUGAUCCCCCGUGGCUUGUACUGGAUACACCCCCAUUCUGAUGUACUCUUUGAUGUCGUGGAACCAUGGCUCACCAUCAAGUUCUUCUUCCACCAUGUUACAGUAAGCAUGCUGAUCGCAGACCUGAAUAUGUAAAGGGUCAACAUAAGCUCUGUCCGGAUGAUGUAACAUUGAUUCCAAGGUAGCCAAAGCAUCGACAACCUCAUUAUAGAUCCUUGGAAUAUGCCUGAAUUAUAUUGAUCAAAAUCGUUGACAAAGAUCAUGCAGACAUUGUCGAUACAGUAUAAGCUUUAAGUCCCGCGUCUCCCAUUAUCCUUGAAUCUAGUGCACCAGAAGGUCUGAGUCUCCCAAGACCAAGACUUCCUGGAUUCCUAUAUCUACAGCUAGCCUUAGUCCCAGAAUGCAUUCCUAGUACUCAUCCAUGUUGUUGGUACAAUAGAAAUGAAGCUGAGCCGUAACUGGGUAGUGAUGCCCUAUUUCAGAAAUGAGUACACCUCAUAUCCCAAUGCCUUUCAUGUUAGUAGCCCCAUCAAAGAAGAGUUUCCAACCGGGCUUUUCCUCCUUCUCGACCUCGUCAAUGUGUUUUACCUCUUCAUCAGGAAAAUAAGUCUUCAAAGGUUCAUAUUCUUCGUCCACGGGGUUCUCGGCCAAAUGAUCAACCAAAGCUUGGGCUUUCAACGCCGUCCGAGUCACAUAUACGAUGUCAAACUCUGUGAGCAAAAUCUGCCACUUUGCAAGCCUUCCUGUGGGCAUGGGCUUCUGAAAGAUAUACUUUAGAGGAUCCAGGCAAGAAAUGAGGUAAGUAUUGUAGGACGACAAGUAAUGCUUCAAUUUCUGUGCCACCCAAGUCAGGACACAACACGUCCUCUCAAGGGGAGUAUACUUAACCUCAUAAGAUGUGAAUUUCUUGCUGAGAUAGUAGAUGGCCUGCUCUUUCCUGCCAGUGAUGUCAUGCUGACCCAACACAUAACCAAAUGAGUUAUCCAGGACUGUCAAAUAAAGAAUCAAAGGUCUUCUUGGUUCUGGUAGGACCAACACAAGUGGGUUCGACAAAUACUCCUUGAUCUUAUCGAAGGCUUCCUGGAACUCAUCGGUCCAAUUGACCGCAACAUCCUUUUUUAGCAAGUUGAAUAUGGGCUCACAAGUUGUUGUGAGCUGAGCUAUAAACCUGCUGAUAUAGUUUAGCCUCCCUAACAAACUCAUCACCUUGGUCUUGUUCUUUGGCGGAGGUAGUUCCUGAGUAGCUUUAAUCUUUGACGGAUCCAAUUCAAUGCCCCACCGGCUGACUAUGAAUCCCAAAAGUUUUCCAGAUGGGACACCAAAUGCACACUUUGCAGGGUUGAGUUUAAGAUUGUACCUGUGGAGCCUUUGGAAGAACUUUCUCAAAUCUCUGCCGUGGUCAGACUACUUCUUGGACUUUAUGAUCACAUAAUCCACGUAAACCUCAAUCUCUUUGUGUAUCAUAUCAUGGAAUAUGGUUGUCAUUGCCCUCAUAUAAGUUGCCUCGGCAUUUUUCAAACCAAAAUGCAUGACCCGGUAGCAAUAUGUUCCCCAUGGUGUGAUGAAUGCCGUCUUUUCCGCAUCUUCCUCAUCCAUUAAAAUCUGAUGAUAGCCCGCAUAGCAAUCCACAAAAUACCCAAUCUCAUGUUUGGCACAACUAUCAAUCAAAAUGUGGAUAUUUGGCAAUGGGAAGUUGUCCUUUGGACUUGACUUAUUGAGAUCAUGGUAAUCAACACAUACUCUGGUCUUACCAUCCUUCUUUGGCACAGGCACAACAUUGGCUAACCACGUGGGAUACCGCUUGACUCGAAUUACCUUUGCAUCAAAUUGCUUUGUGACCUCUUCUUUAAUCUUCACACUCAUGUCGAUUUUGAACUUUCUCAACUUCUGCUUGACGGGAGGGAAUGCUGGAUCAAUUGGCAAUUUGUGGACUACCAAAUCGGUACUUAAGACUGGCAUGUCGUCAUACGAUCAUGCAAAGAUAUCCUUAUACUCAAACAAUAUUUUAAUUAUUUCUUCCCUGAUUUGUGGUUCAAGAUGGACACUUAUCUUAGUUUCUCUGACAUUUUCUAGGUCCCCUAGAUUGAUUGCUUCUGUAUCAUUCAGAUUAGGCUUGAGUUUUUCUUCAAAAUGACUUAGUUCCUUACUAAUCUUUUCAAAGGCCUCAUCCUCAUCAUAUUCUGAUUCAUCACCACACUCUAUUUCUUGGAUUAUUAUUUCAGAAUUAGAUUGACUUUUAAGACUGGACCGAAGAUUCCUCAUACAUGUCAUGUCAUUAAAACCAGCAUAAAAAGAACUGUACAGAGAAGAAAAGAAAAUAAAAAUAAAACUAUCAGGAAUGAUGGAAAGGGAAAUUGCAUUUCAUUAAAAUAAAGGAUAAUAGGGUUUGUACAUCAACAAGCAAAAAAUAAAAGUCUGGGUCACAACCCUGGAAUGACCUAGAUAGAAAGGAAAACAAAACAAACUACCAAGACUCUUUCCUAGUAGGGAGAGGAGUAGCCUUCCAAUUGUUAAACUUUGCAUUCGGCCCGACGAACUGCACGUCUACUUUGCUAGAACCUUCUCCAAAUUCCACCAUGUUCACAUCAUCAAACAACCUCUAGAACCUUUUAAUUAACUCCUCAUCAAUGUCAACCACAGAACUUGGGACCGUCGUCACUGGGCGUUUCCUGGCACCAGGCUUGACAAAGGACCUGGAGAGACGGGGAACAGGCUAUGGAAGUGCCCACACCUUCUGUUUCAACCUUUUAGCCCUUUUCACAUCUGCCGUUGUAGGUUUGAAUCCAAGAUCGAACGUACCCAAAUUUUUAGGGAGGGACACUGGUUGUACGAUACCAUGCAGAGAUGCACCCAGACCUUUACCGGGCACAAAACCAUUUUUUAGCAUUUCAAAGCCACCAUGGUAGAUGUAGAGGUUAUCUUAGUAGUUGGAAUACAUUUGCCCUCUGGAGCUUUCUCGACCGACACUAUUUCAAAAACCUGAUAGACCCAGGGCCCUUUGUCAUCUUCAACCUCAAUGAACGGGAUAAAGGCAUCACUGUGAGCACACAAGUUAUCUUCACCAUGCACGACGAUCUCCUGUCUAUCCCAUUUAAACUUGACCAUCUGGUGCAGAGUGGACAGGACUGCUUUGGAAGCAUGAAUCCAAGGUCGACCUAAUAGCAAAUUGUAAGAGAUGGCUACGUCCAGCACCUGGAACUCCAUGGUGAAUUUCACUGGUCCUAUUGUCAACUCAAGCACUAUAUCACAAACUAAAUCUUUCCAUGUACCGUCAAAUCCCCGAACGCAGAUGAUGUUCUUAUGAAUCCUCUCAUCAUCCACUUUCAACUUGUUCAGAGUAGAGAGAGGGCAGAUGUUUGCACUAGAACCAUUGUCGACUAAUACCCUAGUAACCACAGAAUCUUCACAUUUUACUGUAAGAUAGAGAGCUCUGUUAUGUUCAGUACCUUCCACAGGCAACUCAUCAUCAGAGAAGGUGACCUUGUUCACCUCAAAUAUUUUGUUGGCGAUCUUUUCCAGAUGGUUUACUGAAAUUUUGUCGGGAACAUGAGCCUUGUUCAGAAUUUUUAUCAAGGCUCGACGAUGCUCGUCUGAGUGGAUUAACAAUGACAACAAUGAAAUUUGAGAAGGCGUCUUUUUCAAUUGCUCCACAAUGGAAUAAUAUUGUACCUUCAUUUUUCUCAGAAACUCCUCCGCCUCUUCUUCAGUCACUGCUUUUUUCACUAACACUGGGUUAUCUCUGGAUGUUUUAGCUUUCCUUAACUCUUCCGGGGCAAAGUAUCUCCCCGAACGAGUUAAUCCCUGGGCCUCAUUGGCUUCUUCUUUCACUUCCUUUCCCUUAUAGGUCAGUAUCACCCGUUCAUAGUUGCACGGGAUAGCCUUGUUGUUGACUAUCGGCAACUGGGUUAUAGGCUUGAUGAUGACAGGAUCCAUACAGGCACCCUCUACAGCUAUGAUAGGCUUGUUUGCCGCUCCUGGCACAACCACUUUUGACUUUUCUUUCUUCUCCGCGACAUCACUUGGGGGUCCUUACUUGACUAGCACAGAUGGUUCACUGUUUGCCCUACUCAACUUGUUCACUGAUCCUUCAACUGUUGGUUUUUUAAUUAGCUUGACCUCACUGGACUGAAUCAUCAUGACAGUUUGUGAAGGCUUCUUGGGCUCCCCUCCCUUAUGUACUAUCUCGAUCAUGUUUGUUUCCUGAUGGGUUGGAAAUGGGUUCUGGUUGAUGUUAGGUGCCUAUGGAGUUUGGACUUCAAUCCGGUUUGUGUCAAUGAGCUCCUGGAUGGCGUUUUUCAAGUGGCAGCACUUCUCCGUAUCAUGCCUCGGAGUACCAGAACAAUAUUCACAGCUUAUAAAGUAAUCAAGAUUCUUUGGAGGAGGGUUUGACAAUUUUGACUCAAUUGGCCUCAGCAUAUCUAAUUGCCUCAAUAUGUGGAACAAACGAUAUAAGACUCCCCCAAUGGGGUAAAGAUUUUCUUCUAUUGUAUCCUCUUAUUUUUUAAAUGCUAGAUUAGGUCGGAAACCUGGGCCGGUAGGGUUUCGGUACACUCGUGGAGGUGGGUAAGCAUUUUGUGGAGCUGGGUAGGUGUUUUGUGGGGCUGGGGAACACCAUUGUGCGUAGGUAGGAGGUUAAGUAUAUGUUUGGGCAUGGUGGACAGAAAUAUGAGGGAAUGCUGAUGGGAAGUAGUGUUGGGUGGAUUAUAUGGAGGUUGGGUGUAGGUUCGGUGAUGGGGUCGCAGCUGGGUAUAUCGGUGAUGGACAUAACAGUGCUCUCUUUCUGCUUUGAAAUCUUUUGCCUGCUUGGUCAUCUUGUUCUCAAGGACGAUGAUCUUUUUCUUCAACCUCAUGACUCCAUUGUCAUAUUUCUCUUUUAAUUGUUGAACCAAGCGUGCUCGUUCCUCCGCAUUCUUGGCCAAUUUUGUUUGAGCCCUUGCCAGUUCGCCCUCGGCCUUUUUCAGAUCAAAACCAUAUUCACCCACUUUCUGCCUAAGGUUACAUAUAAACUUUUCAUCUUUUGCACUUCUAGCGGGGUUUUCAGCUACUAUUUUCAUUUCCUGGAUUUGGGCUCGAAGGGCGUCAUUUUCUUUGGCUAGCUUUUUCUUUUUGCCCUCAUCCGCGGCGGCUUGCAAACCAUUCUCAAACUGAAGAUCCCUGACUUGUUUUUCCAGUUUGCCUAUUGUGGCCCUAUACUCGUUCUCCUUGGCCAACCAAGCCCACUGUUCUUGCGAUACUUCAACAAAUUCCUGAAUGUGAGGCUUUUUGGUUGGUCUUUCAGGUUUGGCCCUUGUGGUGUUCUUUUUUCUAUACCAGGCAAGAUAGGCUGGUGAGACCUCGCCUCUAGAUAGGUCACACACUCGAGUGUUUGCUGUCAAAUACUAGCACUCAAUCCAAAUAUGACGAACUGUUUCUUUAUGAAAUUGGCCGUCGGAGCUGACUUCGACCGCAUAAACACUAAGAUCUUCAUCUGGGUGCGUCACCUGGCAUCUUCCCAACUGUCUCAUUACCUAGUAUGAAGCAUAAGGAUGAAUGCCUUGAAGACCCAUUAGAAGGAGGUAAGGCCCGGUGGCAGGCAUAUACAUAAUUUCUUCAACAGGAAGCCAACCCAGUGUCUGCUAUAUUUGCCCCGCAGUGAUGGAGCGAAGGCGGGGUACCCAAUCUCCAAACCCUUCUGGCAGCUUGAACCUUGAAAUUCUUGUGUCUAACUCUUCAAUGCAGCUUUUCUCCAUGGACCCAUAACUCAUAUACUGAGGGCGGUGAGACAGAUGCUGGAUCAUCCACAUUUGUAACAGCAAAUGGCAUCCUUCGAAAAAGUUUGCCCCAGCUUUACAAGCUGUGAGAGCUCGGUAUAUCUCAGACACUAUCAUAGGGGUGAGAGUGCUCUUGGCAUUGGUAAUAAAGAUAUUGAUGACUCCAGCCACCCGCAGAUCCAUAUUCCCAUCCUUUCGGGGAAACACCACGAGGCCUAAGAAGGCUACCAUGAAAACGAAACGCCUAUGCUCAUCCCAUUUUGCUCGGUUCCCUUUGCUACAAACCCCACUCUCCGGGUUGUCAAAUCCUCCUACAUGCCCGUACAUUUGGUAUAUGAAGCGUAGAGUGGAAAAACCGACCGCCAAAUCUGCGUACUAGACCCCACUACUUAUUUUUAGCAAAUCCAAGAACUUGUGAGAGGUAACGGUUCUUGGAGCGACCAGAUACUUAUGCCUUAGACCUUCAGUACUUCCCAUAUAACCUACUAUCUCUUCCAAGAUAGGUGUGAGUUCAAAAUAUGAGAAGUGGAGGACGUUGUGAGCUGGGUCCCAAAAUGUUACCAGUGCCCUUAUUAUGUCUCCUUUAUGCCUAAUCUUCAUCAAUCCGGUGAGCCCUCCCAAAUAAAGGUUGACCACAUCUCGUCCUUCUUUACCCAAAUCUUCCCACCACAUGAGUAGAUCCAAUGGAAUCUUGGACAUGACCUUUAUUGGUAAAUUUUGACUCGUGCUCAUUCUACACUUUUAGAUUAGGGUGAUUGGUUUACACACAAAGUGAAUCUCAUUUAAAAAACUAAUAAAAGGGGUUAUUUUGCAAAAAUCAAGAAGUCAGGGCUACUUUUGCGAAUACGGCCCUCUAACACUUUGAAAUGGAAGUUUUUAGGGCUGUGAUCACUAAGUGGCCAAAAUUUAACAAAACACAGUCAGUGACUAUUCUUGCAAAAACAGCCUUCCGGUGUCCCGUUGAGACAUUAGGCUAUUUAGACAAGAACGGCAUUACCCACUUUAUUUACGACAAAAUGACGACACUUCAUAUAUUUUUUCAAAUUUUUUCAAAAAGCGGAGCUGGACCUGAUAAGGGUUGCCUAUGUAUCCCACAUCCGGUGAGAAUCAAACAUGCGUAGUUUGGCUAGUUUUGACAUGAAAAAACAAAAAUCAUUUUGGACUAAUUCUUCUCUUUUCAAGAAACUUCUUUUUCAAGGAAUUCUUUUUCUUCUCUUUUUUCAAAAAUUCGGCAGAGUUUCGAAACAUUUUGGGCAUCAUUUUUGGGAAACGGGUGAAAUCCUCUCUCAUACCUCAACUCGGGUUUUCUUUUGGUUUUCCUCACUCAAUCUAGAAGCUGGUCAACAUGCAAUCCAAAACAAAUUAAAUGCACAGGUAGCACAUAGAAUGCAUCAGGUUGGUCUUUUACUUUCGGAUGCACCUGUCCUAGACGGACCCAACCCCUGUGUUGAGUCCCCAAAGUCAAAUGCACAUGGUGCAAACAAGCGUUCCUACUAGGGAUCCGACAUAAGGCUAAGUUAUUCUAAGUUUAAAACCUGGAUGUAUUGUUCUAGACCUGGCUUACACGAGCAGACAACUCGAGCCGAUGGGGGGAAGCAUACCGGUAACCAAAAGAUCAUCCAGCUUUGCAACUUGUCCGAACCUCGUUCUAAAUUGGGAUAUGACACUAACAGAAAGAAGUCACGCCAGUGUGCACUCCUCAGAAGAUAGAUGAGAGAGGUUUCAUAGCAGUUUAUAUAUACAGAUCAGAUAAUAUCAAAGCGGUAAAAGGCAACAUUUAGCACAUUAGGCCCAAACAUGUAGAUAAAAUCAGACAAUAAGCCGAAUAUAACAAUUAUUCUAAGCUCGAAUUCUUGAACCCUGAACCAGAGAUUCUGGGUUCGUAUCCCCACAGAGUCGCCAGAUCUGUCACACCUCUUUUUUCCUACCCCCGAAAAGUUAUAUAAGGGGAGAUUUUUCCAAUUCAAGUGACAAUCGAAACGGGAUUAUUUGUUUUUAAAAAAAAUCAUAGUCGCCACUUGGAAUAAUUUAUGGUGUCCCAAGUCACCGGUUCAAAUCCCGAAUCGAGGAAAGGUUGACUCUGGUUUAUAGUCCGCGAAUACAGAAAUUCGGGUAAGGAAUUCUAUUAACCCGAGAGAAGCUUUUAGGCAUUCCUGGGUCCCGUGGUUUUAGCACGGUCGCUCAACGGUUAUUAUUGGCCUAUUUAUUUGAUUUUAAAACAUCUUUGAAACCUAUGUGCAUUUUUAUUCCUUUUAAACCGCUUUUAAUAAUUUGAUUGUUAUACAACUAAUUAUUUGAUUACACGUUGCGAAUCAUGUUACAGGAGUCGUACCCAUGAUCCGCAACAUGUUUAUUUUUAAUAACAAAAUUAAAUUGUGGCCGGGUCGCAUAAAUGCACCCCCGGGUUUUAGGAAUUAAGUAUCAUGACCACAUCACGGGAACCGUACCCGUAGCUAUGACAAUUAUUUAAUUAACGCGCCUAAAGCAAACUACGAAAGCUCAAGGCAUUUUCUAUACUAAUUUGGUAUUUAUGUAAGGGCCAUACAUUAUGGAUUUUAUUUGCGUAUGGCGCACCUCAAUUUAGUUUAGGAAAAGAAUUUGUAUUUAGCUAAGGCAAACCUUAAAUACUCCUACUUAUACCUAAUUUUAAAAGAAACUAAGAAUCACAACCACGUCACGGGAAUUGUACCCGUAGUUGUAAUAACUUAAUUACGCGCCUAAAGAAAACUACGAGAUUUAUUUUAGUAACUAAAUUAUAAAAUAUGAGGGCCAUAGAUUAUAUGAUUCAAAUGUAUGAAUGGCACACGCCUCAAAACUAUUCAACUAGAUGAAUUAAGGAUAUUCAUAUUUAAAGCUAAUUCAAAAUUUAGCGUCACAACUACGUCACGGGAACCAUACAUGUAGUCGUGACGUUUCAAAAAAGGGCCUACAACGAACUAUGUGGUUCACAGUUUUGUUAUUCCUUACAUUGAAAUUAUUUUACAAAAAAAACCAAGAUUACAAAAGGGGUUAUAGGCUUGAGGGAAACGAUUCAGUUGAUUCAACACUUAAGGAAAGAUUAAUCACAAUCCCAUAUCUUGAUCCAUUCACGAAUAAGUCAAGCACAAUGACAAAGAUGUGGCAUUCAAGAAAACAUAGAGGAUUACUAUCUAACAAACAAAAGCAGAAAUGAUAAUAAUAGGGUUAACAAAAUGGUGUAGAUUUUCAAUAUGAUUAAAUCUUGCAUUUCCCUCCCUUUCCGAAGUGAGCUCUCAGUACUAAAACAAGACAAAUUUAGUAAGAUCAAAUCCACCGAGCCUCAAAGACGCAAUGGCCAAACAUCAGAUCAAAGAGUCCAAUAAUUGAUAGGCAACAAUAACAUAAAUGGCACCAAAUAUUCCAUCCACAUAAACUGGAUGCCUAAGCUACCAUACUUGGAUUGCAAACAUAAAACUAUCUUGCAAAUCUGUAUUAGGCCUAAAUCUCAACUUUUCUACAUCUAAAUCCAAAUGAAACAGCAAGAGUGCUCAAUGCAAAAAUCAGUUAAAGCUUCAAACAAACCAAAUCCAUCACUGAAGUAGUAACACAUGGUUAACAAUUCCAGAACGUUAUACUACCCUAAAGGACCAGUGAGAAUCUGAAGAUAUAACAGAUAAAUAUACCUAUAGAAUAGAUGAGUGCAAGUUCUUAACACAACAAAUAACCCAGUUCUCACAAUUAAUGAAAUCCCUUAUCCAGUGAAGAGAAGACCCAAUAUUUCAAAAGGAGUGAUAAGUCAUGUUAAGAAAAGCAUUUUGAAUCAUAUUUCAAUUGGUAGAACUGAAGUCAACCAAAUCCUAAUCCCUUCACACAACUAUAACCUUAGGUGAGUUUCAUUUAAAACUUAAGAGACAUGAUGUGCACAAUUGUUUGAGAACCAAUAAAAAUAACUCUCACGAUACAACUCUGUUAACAUUAGUAAGCCAAAGAUGAACAGAUCUAAUCCGAAAACAUAAGCAUAACCUAAACGCUUCAGUUUUCAAUUUAUCACAUUCAAACACAUCGAAUAGAAAGAUAGCACAUUGGAUAACAAGAACAGAUCGACGAACAUCUCUUUCACGCACAAAUCGAAACUGGAAGCUAACUUAAUUCAUCAAAUUUCAAAACAACUGCUUAAAUUCGAGUCGCUAACAACUACUAUCAACUAGAAUGCACUCGAUGACAGUCCUAAAACUUUGAUGCAAAGUAAAAUCAUACUCUCAACUAGCAGUCAUGAUCGGACUCGGAUUUCAAUACAAAGAUGCUACCAACUCAAAUACUCAACUCAAUUUCCUCAAUUAAUAACACUCAAUGGAUUAGGGCUAAAGUAGAAUGAGAAGCUAUUUUUCAAUUCGCAGAACUUCAAGGAUGAGCACAGCUCACACAACUGAACAUCGAUUCAGUUUAAAGUCCAAACAAUGGCAACAAACAGACUUGAACCAUUAAAAACAAUCAUACUUAAUGCAAAACUAUCACGAAUUCUAACUGAUCUUUAGAUGAACCAGUAACAUAUCUCAACAGAACCCAAAACUGAAAAGAAGAAGCCAAAGAAGGAUUUCCAACAUGUCGGAUUCAAACUAUAAGAUGCUUUCGAAUUCUCAGCAUUUCAAAGAUAAUUUCAGCAUUCACUCAAAAUUCAAACUUCAACAGCAAAUACUCACUCAUUUUGUUUUUUGAAUCUUUAACUUAACCAAAAGGAACCUUUUAAAGAACUGAACUAAUUUAAAAUAUGACGCGACUAAAGCUUAACAAAGAGUCAUAACAGUUCUAAUUGCUGAAUCGAACUGACUGGAUCGACAACAAUCAAUGAGCCUCCAAAAACAAUUUCAGAGCUCAGUUGACAUAUACACAUCCAAACCAACCAGAAAUACUCGUGCAAAUGGCAAACUAACACAUUACGACCAACAGCCACCAAGAUUUAAAUAGUUUCAAACCAGUUGAACUCAAACUCUCAAUACAUUUCUUAAUCAAAUACCAAAGAUAGGCUACAGGAGAUUAAAAACGAACCUGAAUCAGUAAAACACUUCUGUUUAAUUUUGCUCGAAUGUUGAAUACAAAUGAAAUCCGGAAGCUAAUGUCAAUCCAAACAAGCAAUAGAAUCGAGUAGAAAUCAGAAGCUCGGACAGCAGCAAACUCAGCAACUCUCAAUCGAUCACCAUUCCCAAACAAACCUCCAGCCAAGAAAGAAAGAAUGGAAUAUAUAUUUAUGAUUUUCUUUUUUUGAAAAGUAAUCGAAAAUGAAACCAAUUCAAAGAACAAUGAACAUUUUUUUAUAUCUUCUCUUGUUCUGAAAAACUGAACUAAAAUUCAAAAUGAAGAAGAAGAAAAAUCUCUUUUCAAUCCUCGCCUUUCUGCCCAAAAAAUCCCCCUUUUCAGAAGAGAAGCCUUACCUUAUAUAUAUCUCCCCAAAAAUCUCGAACCUUCUCUUUCUUUCUUCACAUACACGAAAUCUGAAAAUCUCUUUCGGAUCCAAUUCUGACGGAUGUAAGGAGGGGAUUGAUCCUCAAAUCAAUCCACGGCUCCCAUUUUUCGGAAUUUAUUCCUCAGAGAUUUCAACGAAUUCAGCACAUGGGUGGAAAAAAUGUUAGAAGCCGUUAGAAUAUUCGGUGACGUGGUGAGAUGGGGUGUGCGUGGGGUGAGUUUGAGCUCACUCGUGCGAGUUUGGACACAUAUCUAAUGGUGAAGGAGAUGGUGAAUAGUAAAGCGUCGUCUCUGAAUUUGGGAUCUAGGGUUCA